AGAGACUGAGCCUAGGUUGACAGAAGCUUUUCUUUCAACUAAGGAGGCUAGUUGGAGAUCUUAUAAGAAAUUGGCUGUGAUGAGGUUCUCGCAAAGAACUAAGCCAAGAAAAUCUUCAGUGAACUUUAUGGCUGUAUUACCACAAGGGAGAUGAAUGUCCACAUUUAAAAGAUAAAGACCUGCUUCUGAAUUGAAGACUGUAAUCAUACCAAGCAAUGGAUUCUCUUGAAUUUAACAUCUCAAAGGAUGGGGCAGCGCAGGCGUUGGAACAAGAUGAGCUGGCUUCAAAUUCCGGCAUAUCAGCUGUGACCUUGGGCCAGGAGCUAAGUUCAGCUUCCUUCCUUGUGAAAUGGAGAGGGUAAAACCUGCUUACCUCUCAGGGAAAUAGGAUUAAAAGGUAUACCGUGAAAGCAAAACCUCAGUGCAGCACCAGGCCCUGCCAGAGAGCCAACAAAUUUCAGUUUUGCUUCUUCCUUUUUAUUUUAAUUUAUUUUUUAAUAUUCUGCUAUAAAUACUAAUGACUAGCUGCCCAUGUAUCAUAUACUUUAAGAUUUGGGCAUUUCUUAAAUUUUCCAUUUUACCAAGCAAGACCAAAGUAUUUCCUUAGUUUAAUUUGUGUUUUCCUCAUAGUUUACCCUGUUUUAUUUUACUUCAUAGCAUUUAUCAUCACUUGAUAAAUAUUUGCUUGUUUGUUUUCUACCUUCUAUCAUUAGACUAAAAGCUACAUGAGGGCAGGAGUUUUGUUCAGUGCUGAAUCCCCAACACCUAAAAAUAUGCCUGUCACGUAGUGGGCACUCAAUAUGUAUUUGUUGAAAUAAAGGA